rnacentral:rRNA from 1 species
AUUGAACGCUGGCGGCAUGCUUUACACAUGCAAGUCGAACGGUAACAGGUCUUCGGAUGCUGACGAGUGGCGAACGGGUGAGUAAUGCAUCGGAACGUGCCCAGUCGUGGGGGAUAACGCAGCGAAAGCUGUGCUAAUACCGCAUACGAUCUAUGGAUGAAAGCGGGGGACCGUAAGGCCUCGCGCGAUUGGAGCGGCCGAUGUCAGAUUAGGUAGUUGGUGGGGUAAAGGCCCACCAAGCCAACGAUCUGUAGCUGGUCUGAGAGGACGACCAGCCACACUGGGACUGAGACACGGCCCAGACUCCUACGGGAGGCAGCAGUGGGGAAUUUUGGACAAUGGGCGCAAGCCUGAUCCAGCAAUGCCGCGUGCAGGAAGAAGGCCUUCGGGUUGUAAACUGCUUUUGUACGGAACGAAACGGUCUGGGUUAAUACCCUGGGCUAAUGACGGUACCGUAAGAAUAAGCACCGGCUAACUACGUGCCAGCCGCCGCGGUAA